rnacentral:rRNA from 1 species
CUCGCAAGAGCAAGUGGUAGGAGAGCGUUGCAUACGCCUGCGAAGGGGUACGGAUAACGAACCCUGGAGGUACUGCAAGUGAUCAUGCCGGAACGAGUAACGAUAAAACAGGUGAGAAUCCUGUUCGCCGAAAGCCUAAGGAUUCCUGGGGAAGGUAAAUCCGCCCAGGGUUAGUCGGACCCUAACACGAGGCCGAAAGGCGUAGUGGAUGGAAGGCAGGUUAAUAUUCCUGCACCGCGUUGGAAGGUUGAGAGCAUCAGGACGUUUUCUGGAAAGUGAUCGGCCCAUUAGAAGUGGCCGUGCCGCAAGGCCGAGGGCAUAUACGAUCCCGAAGUCAUUGGAAGGAGAACCAAGAAAAGCCGAUGCUGGACGACCAACGUGCCCGUACUAAAACUGACACAGGUAGGCGAGAUGAGUAUUCUAAGGCGCUCGAGAGAACGCUCGUGAAGGAACUCUGCAACAUGGCUCCGUAACUUCGGGAUAAGGAGCGCCCUUUGGGGUGUUAAAGCCUCGGGGGGCCGCAGUGAAAAGGGUCUAGCGACUGUUUACUAAAAACACAGGUCUGUGCGAAGGCGUAAGCCGAAGUAUACAGACUGACGCCUGCCCGGUGCCGGCAAGUUAAGGAAGAGGGUUAGCCGUAAGGUGAAGCUCGCAACCGAAGCUCCGGUAAACGGCGGCCGUAACUAUGACGGUCCUAAGGUAGCGAAGUUCCUUGUCGGGUAAGUUCCGACCUGCAUGAAUGGCGUAACGACUGGACCACUGUCUCCACGAGCGACUCGGUGAAACUGUAGUUGUCGUGAAGAUGCGACAUACCCGCGAUUAGACGGAAAGACCCCGUGAACCUUUACUGUAGGAUAAUAUUGGGUUUAGACCCAACAUGCGUAGUGUAGCUGGGAGACUAUGACCGCUGGCUUCUGGGUCAGCGUGAGUCGACGAUGAAACACCAGCCUUGUUGUGUUUGAAUUCUAACUCCGAUCCCGUGAAACCGGGCGGUGGACAGUGUUAUCUGGGCAGUUUGACUGGGGCGGUCUCCUCCUAAAGAGUAACGGAGGAGUUCAAAGGUACCCUCAGCCCGGUUGGCAAUCGGGCAUCGAGCGUAAAGGUAGAAGGGUGCUUGACUGCGAGACCGAUGGGUCGAGCAGGUGCGAAAGCAGGACUUAGUGAUCCGGCGGUGCUGGAUGGAAAGGCCGUCGCUCAACAGAUAAAAAGUACUCCGGGGAUAACAGGCUUAUCUCCUCUGAGCGUUCAUAGCGGCGAGGAGGUUUGGCACCUCGAUGUCGGCUCAUCGCAUCCUGGGGGUGGAGAAGCUCCCAAGGGUUUGGCUGUUCGCCAAUGAAAGCGGUACGUGAGCUGGGUUUAGACCGUCGUGAGACAGGUCGGUCCCUAUCUGUCGUGGGCGCAGGAAACGUGAGCGGUUUUUCUCCUAGUACGAGAGGACUGGAGAGGACGUACCUCUGGUGUACGAGUUGUCGCGCUAGCGGCAUCGCUCGGUAGCCACGUACGGCCAGGAUAAACGCUGAAGGCAUAUAAGCGUGAAACCCUCCGCAAGAUGACGUUUCCCGUAGCAAUACGAAGGCUCCCGGAAGACCACCGGGUCGAUAGGCCGGAUGUGUAAGGUCAGCAAUGGCCUCAGCUUACCGGUACUAACAGCCGAUCGCUUGACCAC